AACGAACGCUGGCGGCAGGCCUAACACAUGCAAGUCGAGCGAGAUCUUCGGGUCUAGCGGCGGACGGGUGAGUAACGCGUGGGAAUAUGCCUCUUGGUACGGAAUAGCCUCGGGAAACUGGGAGUAAUACCGUAUGUGCCCUUUGGGGGAAAGAUUUAUCGCCAAGAGAUUAGCCCGCGUUGGAUUAGGUAGUUGGUGGGGUAAUGGCCUACCAAGCCGACGAUCCAUAGCUGGUUUGAGAGGAUGAUCAGCCACACUGGGACUGAGACACGGCCCAGACUCCUACGGGAGGCAGCAGUGGGGAAUCUUAGACAAUGGGGGCAACCCUGAUCUAGCCAUGCCGCGUGAGUGAUGAAGGCCUUAGGGUUGUAAAGCUCUUUCAGCUGGGAAGAUAAUGACGGUACCAUCAGAAGAAGCCCCGGCUAACUCCGUG
rnacentral:rRNA from 1 species